GCCCAUAAUAAAAAAUCUAAGUACAUUUUUGGAUUCAGCAUAUCAAAGAACCCCAAGAUUUCAAUUUUUGUUAAAAUCAGACUAAGUUUAAUUUUGGACCCUUUGGACUUUAGUGUAGACCAAUUUGAAAACAGGACCAAUAAAGGGCUGCGCUUUCACGCAUGAUACGCCCGUUGCUCUUUUAACUUGUCUUUUAUGCUUUAAAUGUAUUGUCCCAAAAUUGGAAAAUCCCCCCUUUUUUAAGCAUAAAAAUUCAUAACACGGAAAUGUAAAAUCUGAAAUUUAUAAAAGUUGAAAGGGAGCUUACAUCAAUAGAUAUAAACAAUUCACCAAAAUUUCAUGGACAUUGGUGAAAGCCUUUUUGAGUUAUUGUCCGAAGUGUUAAAAAUCCCCCUUUUUUUUAUGAAUAAAGCCCCAUAAAUCCAAAACUUAAAAUCUGAAAUUAAUAAAAAUUAAAAGGGAGCUUACAUCAAUAGAUAUAAACAAUUCACCAAAGUUUCAUGGACAUUGGUGAAAGCCUUUUUGAGUUAUUGUCCGAAGUGUUAAAAAUCCCCCUUUUUUUAUGAAUAAAGCCCCAUAAAUCCAAAACUUAAAAUCUGAAAUUAAUAAAAAUUGAAAGGGAGCUUAUAUCAAUAGAUAUAAACAAUUCACCAAAGUUUCAUGGACAUUAGUGAAAGCCUUUUUGAGUUAUUGUCCUUAGUGUUAAAAAUCCCCCUUUUUUUAUGAAUAAAGCCCCAUAAAUCCAAAACUUAAAAUCUGAAAUUAAUAAAAAUUGAAAGGGAGCUUACAUCAAUAGAUAUAAACAAUUCACCAAAGUUUCAUGGACAUUGGUGAAAGCCUUUUUGAGUUAUUGUCCAAAGUGUUAAAAAUCCCCCUUUUUUUAUGAAUAAAGCCCCAUAAAUCCAAAACUUAAAAUCUGAAAUUAAAAAAAACCGAAAGGGAGCUUACAUCAAUAGAUAUAAACAAUUCACCAAAGUUUCAUGGACAUUGGUGAAAGCCUUUUUGAGUUAUUGUCCAAAGUGAUGAAAAUCCCCCCUUUUUUAUGAAUAAAGCCCCAUAAAUCCAAAACUUAAAAUCUGAAAUUAAAAAAAAACGAAAGGGAGCUUACGUCAAUAGAUAUAAACAAUUCACCAAAGUUUCUUGGAAAUUGGUGAAAGUGUUUUUGAGUUAUUGUCCGAAGUGUGGACGACGGACGGACGGACAGACGGACGGACGGACGGACAACGGUAUACCAUAAUACGUCCCGUCCCGGGCAUAUAAAAAUGAAGAAUCUACAUACACAGUUAGAUUUGGUAUAUCAAAGAACCCCAUUUAUUCAAUUUUUGAUGAAAUCAAACAAAGUUUAAUUUUGGACCCGAUUUGGACCAACUUGAAAACUGGGCCAAUAAUCAAGAAUCUAAGUACAUUUUUAGAUUCAGCAUAUCAAAGAACCUAACUGAUUCAUUUUUUGUCAAAAUCAAACUAAGUUUAAUUUUGGACCCUUU
rnacentral:lncRNA from 1 species